rnacentral:rRNA from 1 species
GCUCCAAGGAAAGANACAAGGCCUCCCUAAACCUAGGCGCCUUCUAGCCAAACAGAUGAUAUUAUCUCAAUCUGAUAAGCAGUAAACAUUUAUAGNCCUAGACCAGGGCAC